rnacentral:rRNA from 1 species
GAUGAACGCUGGCGGCGUGGAUAAGGCAUGCAAGUCGAACGGUUCCGCCCUUUCGCAAGAAAGAGCGGGGUAGUGGCGAACGGGUUAGUAACACGUGGGUAACAGACCAUCAACACAGGCAUAAUCCGUUGAAAGACGGACUAAUUCCUGAUAGUCCUCGAUUUCUUUGGAGAUUGAGGUAAAGGUAUAGAGCAAUCUAUGUUGGUUGAUGAAUGGCCCGCGGCCUAUCAGCUAGUUGGUGAGGUAAUGGCUCACCAAGGCAAUGACGGGUAGGCGGUGUGAGAGCAUGAUCGCCAACAAUGGGACUGAGAUACGGCCCAUACUCCUACGGGAGGCAGCAGUCGAGAAUAUUGGUCAAUGGAGGAAACUCUGAACCAGCGACGCCGCGUGCUCGAAGAAGCCCUUCGGGGUGUAAAGAGCUUUUAUCCGUGAACAAUCCCGCUUGCGGGAUGAGUGUAACGGAUGAAUAAGGGGGUGCUAAUCACGUGCCAGCAGCCGCGGUAAUACGUGACCCCCAAGCGUUAUCCGGAUUUAUUGGGCGUAAAGAGUCUGUAGGCGGUCUGGAAAGUCUUUGGUUAAAGACCCAGGGCUUAACCUUGGGAAUGCCAGAGAUACUAUCAGGCUAGAGGGCGUUAGAGGCUGGAGGAACGGUCGGUGUAGGGGUGAAAUCCGUUGAUAUCGACCGGAACCCUAAAAGCGAAGGCAUCCAGCUGGGGCGACCCUGACGCUGAGAGACGAAAGCGUGGGGAGCAAAAAGGAUUAGAUACCCUUGUAGUCCACGCUGUAAACGAUGGACACUGGCUAUCUGAAGUGUCGACCCUUCAGGUGGCGAAGCUAACGCGUUAAGUGUCCCGCCUGGGAAGUACGGCGGCAACGCUAAAACUCAAAGGAAUAGACGGGGAUUCACACAAGCGGUGGACCAUGUGGCUUAAUUCGACAACAAACGAGGAACCUUACCAGGGCUUGACAGACUAGUGAAACCCUUGAGAAAUCAAGGUCUACCCACAAGGACACUAGUCCAGGUGCUGCAUGGUUGUCGUCAGCAUGUAUCUUGAGACGCACGCUUAAAUGCGGUAACAUGCGCAACCCCUAUUGCUUGUUUUAUUUGUCAAGCGAGACUGCCUGGGAUGACCAGGAGGAAGGUGGGGAUGACGCCAAAUCAGCAUGGCCCUUUGAUGCCCUGGGCUGCACACGUGGUACAAUGGGGCCGACAAUGGGUUGCCAAAGCGCAAGCUGGAGCUAAUCCCAUCAAACGGCCUCCCAGUUCGGAUUGAGGUCUGAAACCUGACCUCAUGAAGUUGGAAUCGCUAGUAAUCGCAUAUCAGCUAUGGUGCGAUGAAUAUGUUCCUGAAUCUUGUACUCACCGCCCGUCACA